UCAAUCGGAAGAGUGAAUGUCAAGCACACAAAGCGUCCAAUUACAUUCAAUCACGACUGAAGAGCCUGCAUAACCCCCCAUUAAAUCGUCCUCUCAAAUCCCCCUUGCAGGUCCAGGUUUCCGCGGCAGUGACUCCGCGGCAGUGGAUUCGGAUGAUGAAGAUAGUUUGCACCAGAAGUUGAUUCACACUGGACUGAAGAUUGAUUCGUUCGGAGUGGGCAAUGUAGUUGAAAAACGGGUCACCGAUCUGACAUUAGAUGAGUUCUUCAGUUAUGGUCCUCAGAAAGCAACAGAUGAGGUAGGCAAGUCUUUGCUAAGGAAAUCAAACGAAAGAUUGUGCGUUAGGAAGUUGAGAUCGACGAUCAUUCUUGCACUUUAGCAGAAGCUUUUCAAAAAGUGAACCCUUGUUUGGGAUUCAACAUUGAGUUGAAGUUUGAUGAUUAUGUUGUUUAUGAACAAGAGUAUCUCAUUCAUGUUCUUCAAGUAAUGUUGAAGGUGGUGUAUGAAAAUGCCCAAGAAAGAUCUGUACUUUUCUCUAGCUUCCAGCUUAAUGUAGUCUUGAUGAUGAAGAAACUUCAGCAUCAGUACUCGGUUACUAUUUGACGAUUUUCUGUUUUAUUAGUGGUAUCAAUGAUCUGGUCGAAUCGAGUCGGUUGGUCAGAACC
rnacentral:lncRNA from 1 species